rnacentral:lncRNA from 1 species
GGGACAGUAACUUAGCUGUGAUCUUUGUUGAACACUAUUUACUGAAAUAGACAGAUGUCCCCAUUACUCUCAUCUCUCUUAAAAGCUUAUUCUAGGGAGAUGGAAGGGAAACUUCUUAAUGUGUACGUGGUGUUUUGUAAGAGUGCCUUUGAAUCAUCAUGAUUACCAAAAGGCUGGGAAGACUCUGUCAUGGUGGACCAUUACCACGGGUCUGCUGAGAGACUUUGAAGGAUCGCCGAGUAACUGCAGCGAUAGACUUUCUUCACUGUAAACCCCUGGGGAAUGGAGUUUAAGUACCUAAACUACUGAGAUGUCAGCAAACUAAGUAAGCACGGUGACAGUCACUAUUUUACUAAACAUGGUAAACUUAAAAAAUAUAUAACCGAUGAGACAACAGACUUCUAAAUUUUAAGCUAAAAAAAAAAAUUUUUUUUUUCUUUUUCUGGG